rnacentral:miRNA from 1 species
UAAAUAAAAAAGGUACAGAACGACUCCUUUUUUGGAGUAAAUUUUACUCCUUUAUUUACUCCAAAAAAGGAGUCGUUCUGUACCUUUUUUAUUU